rnacentral:rRNA from 1 species
CCUACGGGCGGCAGCAGUGGGGAAUAUUGGGCAAUGGGCGCAAGCCUGACCCAGCAACGCCGCGUGAAGGAAGAAGGCUUUCGGUUUGUAAACUUCUUUUAUCAGGGACGAAGCAAGUGACGGUACCUGACGAAUAAGCCACGGCUAACUACGUGCCAGCAGCCGCGGUAAUACGUAGGUGGCAAGCGUUAUCCGGAUUUACUGGGUGUAAAGGGCGUGUAGGCGGGGGUGCAAGUCAGAUGUGAAAACUAUGGGCUCAACCCAUAGCCUGCAUUUGAAACUGUACGUCUUGAGUGCUGGAGAGGCAAGCGGAAUUCCGAGUGUAGCGGUGAAAUGCGUAGAUAUACGGAGGAACACCAGUGGCGAAGGCGGAUUGCUGGACAGUAACUGACGCUGAGGCGCGAAAGCGUGGGGAGCAAACAGGAUUAGAUACCCGGGUAGUC